UACGUAGGGUGCGAGCGUUAAUCGGAAUUACUGGGCGUAAAGCGUGCGCAGGCGGUUUUGUAAGACAGCUGUGAAAUCCCCGGGCUUAACCUGGGAACUGCGGUUGUGACUGCAAGACUAGAGUGCGGCAGAGGGGGGUGGAAUUCCACGUGUAGCAGUGAAAUGCGUAGAGAUGUGGAGGAACACCGAUGGCGAAGGCAGCCCCCUGGGUUGACACUGACGCUCAUGCACGAAAGCGUGGGUAGCAAACAGG
rnacentral:rRNA from 1 species